rnacentral:tRNA from 1 species
GCCUGGGUGGCUCAGUUGGUUGAGCAACUGACUUCGGCUCAGGUCAUGAUCUCACAGUUUGUGAGUUCGAGCCCCGCGUCAGGCU